CCAAUGCUGUUCCAAGCCUGCUUAAAAUGAGGGAGUAUCUGGGGACCAGUCUGAACAGCACCCUGUAGCACCCUGACUGCAGAUCAGCUUUUAUGGCUCGGAGCUUUUCCAUUUCAGAAUAUCUGUCAUUCUGGGCAUCUCUGUGACUUGGUGGAAAAAGUUCAGAUUUAUAUUGAUGGUCCUCCUCUGGCAUUUCCAGCGCAGUACCUGAUCAUAAGAACAUAAGAACAUAAGAAAGUUUACAAACGAGAGGAGGCCAUUCAGCCCAUCUUGCUCGUUUUGGUUGUUAAUAGCUUAUUGAUCCCAGAAUCUCAUCAAGCAGCUUCUUGAAGGAUCCCAGGGUGUCAGCUUCAACAACAUUGCUGGGGAGUUGGUUCCAGACCCUCACAAUUCUCUGUGUAAAAAAGUGCCUCCUAUUUUCUGUUCUGAAUGCCCCUUUAUCGAAUCUCCAUUUAUGACCCCUGGUCCUUUUUUCUUUUUUCAAGUCAAAGAAGUCCCCCGGGU